GAAAUGCGAUAAGUAAUGUGAAUUGCAGAAUUCAGUGAAUCAUCGAAUCUUUGAACGCACCUUGCGCUCCUUGGUAUUCCUUGGAGCAUGCCUGUUUGAGUAUCAUGAAAUCUUCAAAGUAAAUCUUUUGUUAACUCAAUUGGUUUCUACUUUGGUAUUGGAGGUCUUUGCAGCUUCACACCUGCUCCUCUUUGUUCAUUAGCUGGAUCUCAGUGUUAUGCUUGGUUCCACUCGGCGUGAUAAGUUAUCUAUCGCUGAGGACACUGUAAAAGGUGGCCAAGGUAAAUGCAGAUGAACCGCUUCUAAUAGUCCAUUGACUUGGACAAUACUCUUAUGAUCUGAUCUCAAAUCAGGUAGGACUACCCGCUGAACUAAAGC
rnacentral:misc_RNA from 1 species